GUUCUGUCUUAGCACAUCAGCAGCAUAGACUUGGACGGCAGGCAAGGCGGAUGAGCCUUAGUGGAAAAUUACCUGCCCUUUGGUCUCUGAGUGUGUGAUCAGAGUUGGACAGAGUAAAGCACAUCAAUAUCAGAAGCCAUCGCGAGGGUUUGUAAGGCCUCCCAUGGAAUGAUGUAAGCCAGAAUGAGGCAUCUUUGUUGGUGGUUUAUGGGAAGCUGAAGACUGGAGGAAUGCCCUUGACAACACCGAUAUGUUCUAGCUCUACGAUUCCGCUUUGAAGCCCGUUUUUCAAGUUUUUAGAUUUUCACUUCUUAGAGCAGCACUACUUUCCCUCCCACCUUUAUCCACAUAACUCAUGUGGAUUCCAGCUUAAAAGCUGUGCAAAACAAAACAAUCUUCCACAGCCAGGGUGCCUGACCGGCUGAAAAUUGUGUCCGUGUGGACAGAGAGCAUCCUGCUCCACGUGGUGGAGCACCACCCGUGCCUCAGUCUCUUUCAUUGUUGACAAACCACAGUGAUCAUUCUGCAUUAUGGAUUUAUUUCUGUUUCCCCAAAGUCACUUUCUGUAAACGUUUAUAUGUUUGUCUCUCACUUCUUCUGGGCACAGGGACAUUUAUUGGUAAGAGUAUGAUAAGACUUAAUGUGUUUUUAAAAAUAAAUAAAUAUAAAAAAAUAAAUAAAUUAUAUAUAUA